AGAGCCCCUAGAAGUUUUGUAGGUGUGGCUGCUCUGUCACAUGUUCUUCUGUAGGUGACAGAGAGGAGAGAGGCUAUGUCUACACUCAUUGUUCUGAUCUAUGAACAACUAAAUGAAAAGCAACUUACAUU
ensembl:snoRNA Gm26078 small nucleolar RNA SNORA17